rnacentral:rRNA from 1 species
CUAGUCGACUUUAGAGUUUGAUCCUGGCUCAGGACAACGGCUGGCGGCAGCCUAACACAUGCAAGUCGAACGGUGAAGAUGGAGCUUGCUCCAUCAGAUCAGUGGCGGACGGGUGAGUAACACGUGAGCAACCUGCCUUUCAUGGGGGACAACAGUUGGAAACGACUGCUAAUACCGCAUAACGUCAUUUGAGGGCAUCCUCGAAUGACCAAAGAUUUAUCGCUGAAAGAUGGGCUCGCGUCUGAUUAGAUAGUUGGUGAGGUAACGGCUCACCAAGUCGACGAUCAGUAGCCGGACUGAGAGGUUGAACGGCCACAUUGGGACUGAGACACGGCCCAG